UACGUAGGGGGCAAGCGUUAUCCGGAUUUACUGGGUGUAAAGGGAGCGUAGACGGUAAUGUAAGUCUGAUGUGAAAGCCCGGGGCUCAACCCCGGGACUGCAUUGGAAACUAUGUAACUAGAGUACCGGAGAGGUAAGCGGAAUUCCUAGUGUAGCGGUGAAAUGCGUAGAUAUUAGGAGGUACACCAGUGGCGAAGGCGGCUUACUGGACGGAAACUGACGUUGAGGCUCGAAAGCGUGGGGAGCAAACAGG
rnacentral:rRNA from 1 species